GAUGAACGCUGGCGGCGUGCCUAAUACAUGCAAGUCGAGCGAACAGAUGAGGAGCUUGCUCCUCGGACGUUAGCGGGGGACGGAUGAGUAACACAUGGAUAACUUACCUAUAAGACAGGGAUAACUUCGGGAAACCGGUGCUAAUACCGGAUACUAUAUGCAACGGCAGGGUUCAAUAGUGAAAGCGGGUUUUGCUGUCACUUAUAGAUGGAUCCGCGCCGCUUUGGCUAGGUGGUAAGGUAACGGCUUACCAAGGCAACGAUGCGCAGCCGACCGGAUAGAGGGGUCGGCCGCACUGGAACGGAGACACGGUCCUUACUCCUACGGUAGGCAGCAGAAGGCAAUCUUCCGCAAUGGGCGAAAGCCUUACGGAGCGACGCCGCGUGUGUGAUGAAGGUCUUCCGUUCGUAAAACUCUGUUAUGAGUGAAGAACAAAUGUGUAAGUAACUAUGCACGUCUUGACGGUACCUAAUCAGAAAGCCACGGCUAACUACGUG
rnacentral:rRNA from 1 species